rnacentral:rRNA from 1 species
GACGAACGCUGGCGGCGUGCUUAACACAUGCAAGUCGAACGGAAAGGCCCUGCUUUUGUGGGGUGCUCGAGUGGCGAACGGGUGAGUAACACGUGAGUAACCUGCCCUUGACUUUGGGAUAACUUCAGGAAACUGGGGCUAAUACCGGAUAGGAGCUCCUGCUGCAUGGUGGGGGUUGGAAAGUUUCGGCGGUUGGGGAUGGACUCGCGGCUUGUCAGCUUGUUGGUGGGGUAGUGGCUUACCAAGGCUUUGACGGGUAGCCGGCCUGAGAGGGUGACCGGCCACAUUGGGACUGAGAUACGGCCCAGACUCCUACGGGAGGCAGCAGUGGGGAAUAUUGCACAAUGGGCGGAAGCCUGAUGCAGCAACGCCGCGUGCGGGAUGACGGCCUUCGGGUUGUAAACCGCUUUCGCCUGUGACGAAGCGUGAGUGACGGUAAUGGGUAAAGAAGCACCGGCUAACUACGU